AGGCAGACCCGGGUUGCCAGCGACUUGGCUCCUGCCAUCAAAAGUUGGAGUCUGUUUCCCCACGCCUUGAAUCUGGGCUGGCUCUAUGAUCCACUUUGGACAACAGAAUUUGGUGGAAGUGAUGCUAUGCCAAUGCUGAGGUGAGGCCUCAAGAGGCCUUGUGGGCUGUGACUCUUUUGGAACGCUGCCUAGCUGUCACGUGAACAAGGCUACUGCAUGAUGAGAGACCAUAUGGAGCCAAAACAUGCCUUUCCAGCUGAGGCCCUCCUAGUCCAGCCAGCCCUAGAUGCACAAGCUGGUGACCAAAGAUACAUGAGUGAGUCCAGAUGAGAAGUCCCUCGUUGAGCCCAGCCCAAUUGCUGAUCCACUGACUUGUGAGAAUUCCAAGCUGCUGAAAAUUUCCUCCUGUGAUGAGACGCAUUCAGAACAAAACGUGCAGCCUGAUUUGUCUUUCCCCAAAAUCAAAGGCAGUAUUCUAAAGAGACUGCAUUUGCCACACAAAGGUGGCAGAUGUUUGCUGAGAUUAUAGCUGCACAAGCGUUCCGCACGUUCAAUCUUGGGAGCAUUUCAGUUUUUGAAAAGAGAAACAGUUUUGUGUCAUUCCUGGAUGCCCAGGAAGCUUCUGGUACCUACAGUGUGGAGCUCUGGUGGGGUGUGGACAAAGGCGGGUUUGCUCACCUGGCUUUCCAUGAUCUGGAUGUCUUGCAGAGCAGUUGCUGA
rnacentral:lncRNA from 10 species